GAGGGCGGGGCCGCGCCUCCGGCGGUCUCCAGGGAGAACGCUCCCUACACCAGGUUUUUCCAGCCGCCCUCCCUGGAAGCAGCCGCGGCUUCACUCGGCGUUCCUGAGAUCCUGCCACGCCUUUGUUCCACUCCAGCAGCCUUUACCCCCCACCACCACCACCUUGUUUUCCUGCCUAGAAUACCUCUGCACCUCUGGAGCGCCUCAUCUCCAGUCAAUACAAGGAUGUCUUUUUGCGGUCCCUAGGAACGGAGUGGCUCUUGUAGCAAUCUAAAGGAGCCUAGGUCCCACAUCCUCCAGGGUUCUCUAUUUAGUCAAACAUCCCCCGGACUUGCUCUGCAGACACAACUCCCCCCACUCCCCACCUUUUUUUUUUACAGACACAGACAAUGUCUCCUAGAUGGAUUUAUUUUCUGUCUGGGGUUGUGAAACUGAGGCUGUACUAAACUUUGAAAACCAUUUCCUCAGCGUAAAAAUCUGGGCCCAAAAUUAGAAGUGAAACUUUUGCGCUCACACAACCUUCCCCUGCCCAGCAGAGCACUUACAUUCAGUCUGCUCUCCUUAGAACUAAGCAAAUUCUACAUCUCAUCAAAACAAGGCUGUGCUGAGGAGUUUAAACUGGGAAGCCAGCCUACCAGCCAGCGGCACAAGGAGGCCUGCCUCUGUCAGAAUCAAAACGUGGGGGUGAAGAAGACUCAAAAGGAACUACAACCAUUGUAAUGGUUUUGCUUCACAAGUUAACACAUUUUCCUCCAGACUACAGCUUCUUGAACAUAUACUUAGCAAUAAUAAGCCCUGUUAUUUGCUGAUUCCAAGGUAUAUACUGACAAUGUCUUGUGAAGCCCUGUCUGUCCUGUAAUUACUGUGUGGCUGAGGCUGGCCUUGAACGUACAGUCUUCUAAGAUCUAGGAUUUUAAGUAUUCAUCACUACUCCCAGUCUACUUCCUGUUGCCUUCUGAUCAAGAUGCAGCCAGCACCAUGUCUGCCUGCCUGCUGCCAUGCACCCCAUCACGAUGAUACAAGACUGAACCUCAGAAACUCAGUGCUUCUGGAAGAACUCCACCCUACAGAGAGCAGAUUAGAAAAAGUUCAGCUUCCAUACUGAAG